rnacentral:rRNA from 1 species
UUCGUAGGCGGUUUAGAAAGUUGGAUGUGAAAGCUCGUAGCUCAACUGCGAAAUUGCAUUCAAAACUCCUAGACUAGAGUGUGAGAGGGGUGAAGGGAAUUCCCGGUGUAAGGGUGAAAUCUGCAGAGAUCGGGAAGAACACCAGUCGCGAAGGCGCUUCACUGGCUCACUACUGACGCUGAGGGACGAAAGCUAGGGUAGCCAACG